CAACAUUUAGCUAUGACGGUAGGCUAAAUACUGGUUUAAAGUUGUAUAAUGUAGCAAAGAAAUUUAAUUUUCCUUUAAAAAUAAUAUUUUUUGAGUAGGCCUACUUGUUCUGUAGACAACCUUUGGGGGCCCCCAGGGGUCCCCGGACCUCACUAUGUAAACCGCUGAUGUAUGGUACAUAGUUGGAUGAGUUUUAUUUGUGUUAAUCUCUGACCAGAGAGCAGCGAACAGAACUGAUUGAUUGACUAAUAGAGUUCGGGAAUGUGAUGUCAUAUCGCUAUGCAUUAUGGUAUUAGCAGCAAUUGUAAACUAAUGGAGAUUUUAAAAGUUAAAUUACUGGAGUUAUUGUUCACAUUAAAACACUUGGACACCACAGUGUGUUAGAUGUAGAGUUGUUCCACGGAUUUUUUUCUCCACUUUUUAUACUGCUUUUUGCUAAUGUUAGUCAAUGGAAAUGUAGGAUAACAGCUGCAAAGAUGGUGCAUCUCCAUGGUAACUGUGGAAUUUCCCGAACUCUAUUGAUUUAAUGUAAAAUGCUUUUGAAAUCAUAAGUAAAUCAAUCAUUAGGCCUAUUUUAUAAACCAUACAUAUUUAUUUUUUAAAUUAUUGUUAUAUAAUUUGACACAAAUGUUAUAAAACUCGUCUUUUAACUGGAAACUUUCCUGUGUGCUUUUAUUCUGAAGGUUUCCGCCGGAUGUUGCCGCUCGUAGCCCGUAACCUUCACACGCCUUGCUCGUUCCCAGGGUUCCGUGAGAGCGGUUUGCCCCACCCCACCUCCACAGCGCUAUCUGUCUCAAUGUACAAUCCUCAGAGAAAAAAGAGGGCAAAAUAAUUCAGGGUAACGCCGCGAUCAAACGCCUCGCAUUUCCCCCGGGCGAUUCGUCGGCGCCUACUCCGCCAAAAGAGCUGGAUUUCGUGGCAGCGAACACCGCGACACCACCUGGAUAUUGCGUUGUAUUCAAGGACACACGGGGGGAAACCUGCGGAGAGAGGCUUUCCGAUGUGAGGAGAAAUACAAAUUAACGCUACACAGACAGAAAAAAAAAAAAAGGACGGACAAGGGGCCUUUUGGGGGUCUGGUCAAACCCUUAAACGCAAAAAAAACGCGACACCAGCAUCUUGAAGGAAACCGUCUUGUCAUCGUCCAGAAACAGGAUAUUAUUGAUAAACGUGCCUCCCCAUUUACGACGACAACCCCAGCGCAAUCGGGGGGUGUAAUGUGAGGGGAUUUUUGAAAGAGCCACGGAGGAAAGAAGAAGAAGAAGAAGAAGCAGCCCCGGUUGUUGAAAAGCCUGAUGAUUCACACGCCAUCAUUUCAACGGGAAUGUUUAUUUUUUAUUUCUUUCCCACCCGCCCUCUGAUGUGAUCCGAGAGGCUAUUGCAAAACAGUCCCGGUUUUGUUUUUGUUUUUUUUGUGAGACAUCCCUCACCUCUCAUUAUCUUCUAAAAAUAGGGAAACGCUUCGAAAAAACUGGGCUUUUAAAAAAAAAAAAUAUUAUUAUUUUUUUGGUGGUGGUGUGUGGCAAUGAAUUGAAUGGCAGUGAGGUAUCUGCCGAAGAUGGGCUCAAGAGGAGGCUAAGAAAACCGACCCAAUAGGAAAAAAAGAAGAAGAAGAAGAAGAAAUGCAUGUCCAAGAAGAAGCCAGCAUUUGUAUUUGAACCACCUAGUGAUAAACUGGAUCAGCAGGAUUGGCCUAUUCACAGGAAAGCUAGAGAUUUUUUUUUUUUACAUCCACACUCGUAUCGGUGUUGAUGACUUCAUUGCGGAUUUACAGUGAAAAACACAGGAUCCAAGCGUCUGAGAGGGCGGCAUCGUUGCCCUGCUCUCCCUUUUGACUGAUCUCUGUUCAGAAAUCGCCUGUCCAUAUCCACAUCCAUCCAGUGCCAAACCCGGUGGAGUCUUAGCAUUUCUGACAGCGUCUCCUUUUUGUGUGUGUGAGCGUGUGUGGACUUAUGAAUUAUCUGGCAACAUAAAUGACAGUCGUUUUGAGCCAGGUGUCCCUGUCUUUGGUCAAAGGUAUUUAGGAUUCAUUGAAUUUUUUUUUUUUUUUUGCCUCCUCUUUGAUCAACACCCUCC
ensembl:lncRNA